GCUGGAAUUGCUGUAAUGGCAGGUCAGCAUACUGCCGUGAAUACGUUCCCGGGCCCUUGUACACACCGCCCGUCACACCAUGAGAGUUGGAAAUACCCGAAGCCUGUGAGCUAACUUAAAGAGGCAGCAGUCGAAGGUAGAGCCAAUGAUUGGGGUGAAGUCGUAACAAGGUAGC
rnacentral:rRNA from 1 species